rnacentral:rRNA from 1 species
UAGGGAAUCUUCGGCAAUGGACGGAAGUCUGACCGAGCAACGCCGCGUGAGUGAAGAAGGUUUUCGGAUCGUAAAGCUCUGUUGUUAGAGAAGAACGUUGGCAGGAGUGGAAAAUCUACCAAGAGACGGUAACUAACCAGAAAGGGACGGCUAACUACGUGCCAGCAGCCGCGGUAAUACGUAGGUCCCGAGCGUUGUCCGGAUUUAUUGGGCGUAAAGCGAGCGCAGGCGGUUCUUUAAGUCUGAAGUUAAAGGCAGUGGCUUAACCAUUGUACGCUUUGGAAACUGGAGGACUUGAGUGCAGAAGGGGAGAGUGGAAUUCCAUGUGUAGCGGUGAAAUGCGUAGAUAUAUGGAGGAACACCGGUGGCGAAAGCGGCUCUCUUGUCUGUAACUGACGCUGAGGCUCGAAAGCGUGGGGAGCAAACAGG